CCCCCGCCAGCUCAUUAGCGCGAGAACCCGCGCCACCUGCUGUUACAGCAGCUCCGGGGCCACCGCGUGCGGAGGCGCCGCCAGUCUCCCCGCCGGCAGAAAAAUGAGGAUAUUUAGUGUCUUUGCAUUCAUGGCCUACUGUCAUUUGCUGAAAGCGUUUACGAUCACAGUGUCCAAGGACCUGUAUGUGGUAGAGUACGGCAGCAAUGUGACAAUGGAGUGCAGAUUCCCCGUAGAAGAACAAUUAGACCUGGUUUCACUGAUCGUCUACUGGGAAAUGGAGGAUAAGAAAAUCAUUCAGUUUGUGCAAGGGAAGGAAGACCUGAAAGUUCAGCACAGAAGCUACAGUCAGAGGGCCCAGCUGUUGAAGGACCAGCUCUUCCUGGGGAAGGCCGCGCUUCAGAUCACAAACGUGACCCUGGAGGAUGCCGGGGUUUACUGCUGCUUGAUUGGCUAUGGCGGUGCUGACUAUAAGCGGAUUACUUUGAAAGUUCAUGCCCCAUAUCGAAAAAUCAACCAAAGAAUUUCUGUGGAUCCUGUCACCUCUGAACAUGAACUAAUGUGUCAGGCUGAGGGUUACCCAACCGCUGAAGUCAUCUGGACAAACAGUGCCCAUCAAGUCCUGAAUGGCAAAACCAUCAUCUCUGUUUCCAAUAUGGAGACAAAGCUUUUCAAUGUGACCAGCACGCUGAGAAUCAACACAACGGCUAACGAGAUUUUCUACUGCACUUUUCUUCAAAGAUCAAGUCCCGAGGGAAACAGUACUGCUGAGUUGGUCAUCCCAGAACCAUUUCUGGUUCCAGCAAAUGAGAGGACUCACUUCAUGAUUCUAGGAGCCAUCCUGUUGUUUCUUGUCGUGGUCCCGGCUGUCACUUUCUGUCUGAAGAAACGAGAUGUACGAACGAUGGAUGUGGAAAAAUGUGACACCGCAGAUAUGAACUCAAAGAAGCAAAAUGAUCUACAAUUUGAGGAGACGUAAUCCAGCAUUGAAAUUCCUGAUCUUAAAGCAGGGAUUCUCAGCCUGUGGUUUGGGCUCGUCAGGGGUAAGCAUGACCAGAGGAAUGCGGAGGGCCAGGCGAACUGCAGAUGAUGUCGGAUGUGAGAGGCCCAAGCACUGAGAAGUGGAAGCCAGGAGAGAAGAGGAGAACAAAGCAAGGAGUAAGCAGGGGUCACCUGCCAGGAAACCCUGGGGCCUCAGCAUGACUGGGGCCUCAGACUUACGGGCACCUGAGAAAGAGAGAGGACACUUCCAAAUUGUCUAUCGCUCAUCCUAGGAAAACAAGUUGAGAUUCCCUGAUUUAGUGGUCAGUUCCUACAGAAGUGCCCGUUGGCUUCACCAGCAUCUCUAUUUGUCGUCUGUGUUAUUGAGAGCCCCAGUGUUGCAGCAAUAUUUAAUAGUGUACUUUGACUCUCAUCUGUGCUAGAAAAGGCCCAUGAGCUGUGCCUGAACCCUUGAGUCCUACCAGUUCUCAUCACUACACAGAUCCAAGAUACUGCUUUUCAAAACUUUGGAUUUACAUGCCCUCUCUGGAGGCCCCAGCGUAUUCCUUCUGUCUUCGCCAUCUACCUGUGUUAUCAACAAGGAAAACCUUUGCUUUGCCACAUGUCAAGGCUGAAGAAACAGAAUCUCCAACAGAACAGAACUCCUUCUGUUCUCUUUUUGUACACAUUCAUUUGUACAGCAUCCGUUGUUUGCGUGACUGUAUCCUCUGUGUGAGGUACACGAGAGGGUUCUGGCUGAGUUGGAGGACAGUCUGUUCACUCCAUUCCUAAGUGUUAAUGCCUUCUUGUGGUGUUAGAUUUGUAAGGCACUUUAUAUCUUUGUCUUGUGUUUCACUGUAAAAGACAUAGGCAGAGAUGAUACUUAGUUCUGCGUUUUAAUUGUCAUUAUUUACACCUGCAUUAAUUUAAUAAAAUAUUUAUUUUGUUUCUCGGUG